rnacentral:lncRNA from 1 species
UGGGUUCUCAUAUCUAAGAGUUCUUAGGUAGAAAUCAUACGGGUAGAGAUUAGGUGAAAAAGACUCUAACUUGUGGAGUGUAGUGAGAGUCUUUGAACUGAUUCUAUUUAGUGGAUUUCCUUCCUGGCUUGGUAGCCCCCAGAUGUAGGUGAGUUGCACCGAACUGGGUUAACAACUGCUUGUGUCUCUUGCAUUACUAUUCUUU